AUUGAGCGCUGGCGGAAUGCUUUACACAUGCAAGUCGAACGGCAGCACGGGGCAACCUGGUGGCGAGUGGCGAACGGGUGAGUAAUACAUCGGAACGUGCCCAAUCGUGGGGGAUAACGUAGCGAAAGUUACGCUAAUACCGCAUACGAUCUACGGAUGAAAGCGGGGGAUCGCAAGACCUCGCGCGAAUGGAGCGGCCGAUGUCAGAUUAGGUAGUUGGUGGGGUAAAGGCUCACCAAGCCGACGAUCUGUAGCUGGUCUGAGAGGACGACCAGCCACACUGGGACGGGGACACGGCCCAGACUCCUACGGGAGGCAGCAGUGGGGAGUGUUGGACAAUGGGCGCAAGCCUGAUCCAGCCAUUCCGCGUGCAGGAUGAAGGCGUUCGGGUUGUAAACUGCUUUUGUACGGAACGAAACGGCGAGCUCUAAUACAGUUUGCUAAUGACGGUACCGUAAGAAUAAGCACCGGCUAACUACGUGCCAGCCGCCGCAGUAAAAC
rnacentral:rRNA from 1 species